rnacentral:rRNA from 1 species
GAAACCAACAGGGAUUGCCCUAGUAACGGCGAGUGAAGCGGCAACAGCUCAAAUUUGAAAUCUGGCCCUAGGCCCGAGUUGUAAUUUGCAGAGGAUGCUUUUGGUGAGGCGCUUACCGAGUCCCCUGGAAUGGGGCGCCACAGAGGGUGAGAGCCCCGUAUGGUUUGCCGCCGAGCCUCUGUAAAGCUCCUUCGACGAGUCGAGUAGUUUGGGAAUGCUGCUCUAAAUGGGAGGUAAAUUUCUUCUAAAGCUAAAUACUGGCCAGAGACCGAUAGCGCACAAGUAGAGUGAUCGAAAGAUGAAAAGCACUUUGAAAAGAGGGUUAAAUAGCACGUGAAAUUGUUGAAAGGGAAGCGCUCGUGACCAGACUUGUGCCUGGCGGAUCAUCCGGCGUUCUCGCCGGUGCACUCCGCCAGGCUCAGGCCAGCAUCGGUUUUCGCCGGGGGACAAAAGCUUCGGGAACGUGGCCCCCUUCGGGGGGUGUUAUAGCCCGUUGCAUAAUACCCCGGCGGGGACCGAGGACCGCGCUUCGGCAAGGAUGCUGGCGUAAUGGUCAUCAGCGACCCGUCUUGAAACACGGACCGAGGAGUCAAGCAUUAGUGCGAGUGUUUGGGUGUAAAACCCGCACGCGUAAUGAAAGUAAACGUAGGUGAGAGCUUCGGCGCAUCAUCGACCGAUCCUGAUGUUUUCGGAUGGAUUUGAGUAGGAGCAUUAACGCUUGGACCCGAAAGAUGGUGAACUAUACUUGAAUAGGGUGAAGCCAGAGGAAACUCUGGUGGAGGCUCGCAGCGGUUCUGACGUGCAAAUCGAUCGUCAAAUUUGAGUAUAGGGGCGAAAGACUAAUCGAA